rnacentral:tRNA from 1 species
GGCUGGGUAGCUCAGUUGGUUAGAGCGUGGGACUCAUAAGCCCGAGGUCGUGGGUUCGAUUCCCACCCCAGCUA